rnacentral:rRNA from 1 species
GACGAACGCUGGCGGCGUGCUUAACACAUGCAAGUCGAACGGAAAGGCCCUUCUUUUGUGGGGUGCUCGAGUGGCGAACGGGUGAGUAACACGUGAGUAACCUGCCCUUGACUUUGGGAUAACUUCAGGAAACUGGGGCUAAUACCGGAUAGGAGCUCCUGCUGCAUGGUGGGGGUUGGAAAGUUUCGGCGGUUGGGGAUGGACUCGCGGCUUAUCAGCUUGUUGGUGGGGUAGUGGCUUACCAAGGCCUUGACGGGUAGCCGGCCUGAGAGGGUGACCGGCCACAUUGGGACUGAGAUACGGCCCAGACUCCUACGGGAGGCAGCAGUGGGGAAUAUUGCACAAUGGGCGGAAGCCUGAUGCAGCAACGCCGCGUGCGGGAUGACGGCCUUCGGGUUGUAAACCGCUUUCGCCUGUGACGAAGCGUGAGUGACGGUAAUGGGUAAAGAAGCACCGGCUAACUACGUG